rnacentral:rRNA from 1 species
AUUGAACGCUGGCGGCAUGCCUUACACAUGCAAGUCGAACGGCAGCACGGGAGCAAUCCUGGUGGCGAGUGGCGAACGGGUGAGUAAUAUAUCGGAACGUGCCCAGUCGUGGGGGAUAACGUAGCGAAAGCUACGCUAAUACCGCAUACGAUCUAUGGAUGAAAGCGGGGGAUCGCAAGACCUCGCGCGAUUGGAGCGGCCGAUAUCAGAUUAGGUAGUUGGUGAGGUAAAGGCUCACCAAGCCGACGAUCUGUAGCUGGUCUGAGAGGACGACCAGCCACACUGGGACUGAGACACGGCCCAGACUCCUACGGGAGGCAGCAGUGGGGAAUUUUGGACAAUGGGCGCAAGCCUGAUCCAGCAAUGCCGCGUGCAGGAUGAAGGCCUUCGGGUUGUAAACUGCUUUUGUACGGAACGAAACGGUGAGCUCUAAUACAGUUUGCUAAUGACGGUACCGUAAGAAUAAGCACCGGCUAACUACGUGCCAGCCGCCGCAGUAA